UCUAGUUAGUUCAGUUAGAAAUCUAGCCACCUGCACUGCCCAACCUUUUGAGGGAAAAAUGAGCGAGGAUCAUUUGUCUUCCCAGUAAAAAUUACUUUAGUGUAGAAUAAAAUAUCCAUAAAAUUUGGAUUCUAUAAACCCAUUCAAUUGGCGCCCCAUCGACCUACCGUCAUAACAAACAAGACGACGGACGAUCUGAAGUGCCAGACGACAACAUCGAUAGGGAGAGGAGGAUAGGCGGCGUUACUAUGUUUGCACACAUGGAACCGACAAUAUUUUGACUUUUUAUGUAAGAGGCGAUGCGAUGCGCUGCAAAAACCCAGAGGGACAAGUAACCAGAAAUGGACACAGAAAACCCAAGGCGAUACAGAUGCAGAUAUGAAGGAAGUGGAGGACGGCAACGGUUUUUUUUCGCACCUACAUGCUAAAAACGAAAAAAACACAAAAAUUGGUAACUGAAAUUGGGACUGCAGUUGGACGGAGUCCCGGAGUGUGUGUUUGCAUUUGUUUGUUACGCCAAAUGCACAUGCCGAUAUAUAUAUAUAUUUCCCCGCGUUGCUUUUUUUUUUUUGAGGAAUUCAACCCGUUCCCUGGGGCUGCUGCUGCGUCCUCUUGGUCGCUGGCCUUUGCUCACUCUGCCGUAACGAAAUUGUUUGACUUUUGCCGACUGCUUCGAUGUCCCACUCCUGCACUCCUGCACUCCAGCAAUGCCGCAAUCCCCUUUGCUGCCAGCUACUGCAUUACACAGGGCUGUGCCAAAAUUACGGUGAAUUCACAGCUUAUGUUCUUCAGUGUUCAGUGUGUCCUGUCGGCCAUUUUGGAAAUGCCAUGACAUUCUCAAAAAUGGAUAAAAAGCAGCAGCAGCAUGUCUUUGAAUUGGGCAGCAGCAUCCUCUCACUCACUCUCAAGUGAUUUAUGGUCGGCUGUAUCUGGUUUCAUGUGAAAGCAGUUGGGCCAUUGGACGGCGCAAGAGUAGGA